UACAGAGGUCCCAAGCGUUGUUCGGAUUCACUGGGCGUAAAGGGUGCGUAGGUGGUGAGGUAAGUCGGAUGUGAAAGCUCGGAGCUCAACUCCGAAAUGGCAUUGGAAACUACCUUGCUCGAGGGUUGGAGGGGGGACUGGAAUACUUGGUGUAGCAGUGAAAUGCGUAGAUAUCAGGAGGAACACCGGUGGCGAAGGCGGGUCUCUGGGACGGUACUGACACUGAGACGCGAAAGCGUGGGGGAGCGAACAGG
rnacentral:rRNA from 1 species